ensembl:lncRNA
AAUACCAUCCUCAAAGCCAAGGUGCUCUCGAGCGAUUUCACUUGACCUUAAAGUCUUUGCUGCGUGCAUAUUGUUCAGAGCUACAGCGAGAUUGGGAAGAAGGCCUCCCGUGGUUGCUGUUAGCAGCACGGGAAGUGUCACAGGACAGUUUGGGUUUUAGCCCAAAUGAGUUGGUUGGUAUGGAGAUGAUUUGGUCGUCCGUAGUCCGUAGGUUCGUAGUCCGUAGUCCGUAGGUUCUUAGUUCGUAGUCCGUAGGUUCGUAGUCCGUAGGUUCCUAGUUCUUGGUUCUUAGUUCGUAGUCCGUAGUAAGUGAUUAUGUGCAUACCUUCACUAAUUUCUCUCCUCUCUUGUCUCUAUGCCCCUGUCCCUCUUAGAUUACUUUUCCAGGGCCCGGAAUUGCUGUGGGUCAGGAGGUCGGGUGACGUGAGGAGUGGUGAAAGUGUGUGUAUGGGGGGGGGUUUCUAGUUGAUCCGGUAGGAGUGUUGAUGUAACUGGUGUUGGUUGAGGGGAUUGGUAGGGCUUAUGUGUUUUGGGGUUUGUUAUUUUUGAUACCAUAAGUGCAGAAUCCCACUUGGGUGGGCUUCUGUCUUAAGGGGGGGGGAUGUGACGACCCUGGUGAGUCUUUGACUCCACCCUUUGCUUUGACUCCACCCUUUGCUUUGACUCCACCCUGGCUGUUUGGUUUGCCUGUUUUCCCUCUCUCUUAAUAGGUGAUGCAGUUCAGGUGUGCCGGGUUUGGCAGCAAGUUAAAAGCCUGCAGUCGCAACAGUCAAGGGCGCUCCCUCCUCCCGGCGUGUUGGUUUUCGUUGUCCUUUGUUUGGUUACACAUAGACUGACUUUGCUUGACACUUUUGGGUUACUUACAUUUAACUGAUUUACACCACACUUCUUUAUCUUUAAUUAAUUUCAUUCUCUGUAAAAUUAUCUUACUUUAAUAAAUUCUUUAUUAUUGUAAAACGGCGUGGUCUCCCCCAUUUCAUGUUCAUGCUAGAGCCAGCAUGUGACACUACUCAUUCACAUAUUUUUUGGCAAUGCCCAUUGUUAGAUAACUUUUGGAAAUCCGUAUUUGCCUAUAUCAAUAAAGUAUUGAAUGUUGAAUUGAUGAGAGACCCUCUGGUAGCAAUUCUAGGAAUUAAACCAGUUGUGAUACACAGUAGGAAUAAUAUGUAGGGGAGAGCCGGGUCGAUUGAAACACUUUUCAGUUAAACGUCUUUUUCAAAGAUGAUGUUACGUAUACAAAUAAUUUUAACAUGUGCUCAACAACUCACAUGUGGGUUCUCUUAGUUACAAGUGAAAUUUAAUACAUAUGUUGGAUGAUCGAGCUGUUUUUUAACUUGUUUAAAAUGCCCCGCCUAUUCGGGACGUUUGAAACAAACAUGCGGGACGAAUGAAACAGCAUAUUUUAAAAAUAAUCUAUUGCCCUUAUUCUUGUUUUUAUGCAACAUACCAGACAACAUACUAGUGUACUCGUCAUUGCUAAAAUUUCACAUAAUUCCGCAUAAUAUAAAUAGGU